rnacentral:lncRNA from 1 species
UCAUAACAUUGAUAUUCUGUACUAAAAUGUAAUCAAGGUGCGCAGUAGCGCCCCGAUGGCAAGUAUAAUUUAUUAUACACUUUGCCGUCGGGGAGCUGCGCGAUCCUAUUAUACUUUGAAUUUGCUAAAUAACCUAAAUGCGUUUUAUUGUCUCCAAUGAUUUCGUGUCUGAUAUGUCUUAGAUGCCUAUGUUUGGGUAAUGUAUCUUAAAGAUUUUAAUAAGAACUUUCUAAUGAUCAUAAUAUUUUGCUUCAAAAAUUUCUCUUUUAGCAAAAUACUUAUGAUCAAAAAUUAAUUUGCGAUUUCUUAAAAUUUUGGUCAUGUGCGAUUUUCAUCUUUUUAAGUACAGCAAUACAAGAUAUGUCAUGAUAAUAGGUUAUAAGGUUAGUAAGCUGUAUUUAUUUACACAUAUAAAAAAGCAAGAAGUUGUUGGGUAAGGUCACCUAAGCAUUAUCAUAAAGAAUGUGAGAGACGAGGAUUAGAUUUUCUAGGCUAGGAGUUGCCAUUUGUGAUCGUGGAUCAGUGUGUGACUAUAUGCAGCUGAAAGAGGCUCACGCGGCAGCAGCGUGCAUCGGGACUCGUGUAACGGUGUAAACAUUAAACAUAGCCUAAAAGAGUGCGGUGUAUUGGAGCUUAUCGGUGUACGGGUAUAAAGACUCGCUAUAUAAUCGAACUCUCUUAAAUCAGUCUGUGUGCGUGGUUAUACGUUUGCUGAAGAGCCCUCAUGCUUCCGAUAGAGUACCGCUCGACAAGAAUUAUAAUGUGUCUAAUAAGCGCCGAGAGCGCCAGCCAGGAUGCGAUGCAAGCUCUCGCGUAAAUAUACCAUACACGACGUGUGAAUGUUUGGAACAUAGUAAAUACAGCAGCGUGCUCUAUAUCAACUGGGAACGUCUCGGAACCUUUGGCUCACAUCAAUGGACUGAAAGUUGGACACUGGUCAGUCGCUCCAGGAUAUGCUGACUGCGACAUGAGAACGCGAUACACAAGGGCAGAGAAAACAGCUCUUUAAUAACUUAGAAACAAUUUCGAGGCGGGAUGCGACUAUGUCAACGAUCUCACCGAGUUCGGGGACGAGAAGAACCACUACGACGCAAGGAAGAUGGACUAGACACAUUGAAAAAUCACACCGACUUACUGGACUGCGAUAUCAAGAACGAGACCAAUAGUGUGAUCAGCGGCCCCUUUGCAUAAGCUCGUCUUCAACUUUAUGAGUUCUGACCGCUCAAGCUUAACGAUGACCCCAUCGAUUGCAAAGACGACCUCUACGGCUGAUGCUGGUUGUUCGACUUGUACCAGAGCCUUCCUAAGCGCUCUUUCAACCUCGAUAUAAGUAUCUGCGACGCCAACUCGAUCAGGCCUCUGCACAUGACGUUCAGCAGGCAUCACUUUGCGCUUAAAACUGAGCUGAAGAAGUCCGCGUGUCCGUGCUCGAGCAAGAGCUGCAGCAGCUGCCGGGUGGCGCGUCAGACAAUCGAUGGAGAUCGGCAGCGCUGGAAACCUGAGCAGCCUCAAGCUUCGCAUAUCCUUGACACCUGACGAAAGCCCAUACCACGCUGUUGCUGCUUGCCAAAUAUACAGCAACAAUAUACAACUACAUAGUCACGCUGGAACGACGGUAAACAAACGCGUUGCAGUAGCAUUCUCUCGACACGUCAUAUGUGUCGAAGCUAUUUCUUUAGAAGUUUGGUUAAACUUAUUAAACGGUCGUGAAAUGGGUUUGAAAAAAACCUUUUACAAGGUAAAAUAUUAGCAACUAUAAGUUAUGGCUUCAUCCUCACAAAUCUGAUGUAUCUUUGUAUUAUGAUUCUUAUUCCUUCUUAAAAAUUUACGAAAUUCUAAAAAGAAUUAUCAAAUGUUUGUAGCUUACAAAAGUUUCUCCAUAUAUUCUCAUAAAUAUAUACGUUAGUGAAUGUAGUGAAAUCAGUUUUGAAAAGGUCAAGCAAAGAUCAGCAGAUAAGCUAGAAAUAAUUAUAAUUAAUAAGUAUGAAAAAUAAGAUAGUUGCACUUUUCGAAAUUAUUAUUUUAACUCGCACCUCCCGUCCCGUCGUCUUGUAGUCUACGAUAUGCAUAAUAUUUACUAAUCGUCAUACACAUCAUACGUGCAUAUUUACUAAAAAAACUUGAUUGUUUAAUGAGGUUCAGUUGCUACAAGAAAAAUUCAGCCGAUUCCGAAAUAUUAAAAUUCUAUUCUUUACAAUAAACUUAUAUUGUAACUUAGAUUAUAAUAAAAAAUGUUCUAAUUUUAAUUCGUAUUAUUUAACAGAUUUAGACACACCUCAAAACCAAUAAUCUGAGUGUUUCAUCAAUAAACCAUAAUCCAUAUAGAAUCCAUAUAGAUUAUCCAUAUGGAAAAUCCAGCUGGAUAUCCAGGUAUAUAUUUUCAACAGGGCUCCUUCGUAGAAAGAAGCUUAGCGCACAAUUUACAUUUAAAAACUGAGGAUUUGUGCUCCAACUAGUGUAGACUUUUUUACAGAUAGAUAGGGCUCUACCUGCACAUUGCGUGAUAAUUUAGUGACAGCAUUUCCAGGACAUAUACAGGAAUAAAAUAAAUGAUUAGUUGAAUUCCGGAAUGAACUGCCUACAUUGACUUAUUCAGAAUAAUUAAAUCCAAUGUUAAUUACUUGAUGAAGAACGAAACAUCCAACGUAGACCAAAUCACCUGGACGCUGUAACAAUAUCUCGAAAUUGAUACUAUUUUUUUCAAAUAAGACGGAUAUACAAUAAGAUUCUUAUGAUUAAUAGGCAUGGAACAACCAUCAAGAAAAGAAUUUGAAUAUUUUUUCCGUUGUUUUUUUAAAAAUAGUAUGUCGCUGGAUAGUUGAUUGAGCAACUUGCUAUUGUCGUCUUUGUCAAGAAUCAACCAUAAUUUCAUUGAAUCCGGCAAGCCACCGAGAAUCAAAUUAGCACUGUCUGAAUUAGAAUCUUCAGAAUGUAUACCUGAGAACGAAUUAUGUCCAGCUACAGAAUAAGAAGGAUCAUUGAUUCCAGGACAAUCUCAAUAAUCUUCAUUCAUUUGAAUACUUAUGUUGUGGGGCAUAUCAACUAAAAAAGAAUCGAAGAUAUUAUUUUUUUUUACACAGUUCAUGGCGUAAAUUGGACGAAUCUUUUUCUGAACUAUAUUUGAAAUAGACUCUUGAUAUAAUUCAACAAUAGCAUUUUUUUCAGAAGCAUCAAUUUUUAUUUGUUUUCGCA